rnacentral:rRNA from 1 species
UACAGAGGUCUCAAGCGUUGUUCGGAUUCAUUGGGCGUAAAGGGUGCGUAGGCGGCUCAGUAAGUCGGGUGUGAAACCUCCAGGCUCAACCUGGAGACGCCACCUGAUACUGCUGUGGCUAGAGUCCGGUAGGGGAGCGUGGAAUUCCUGGUGUAGCGGUGAAAUGCGCAGAUAUCAGGAGGAACACCAGUGGCGAAAGCGGCUUCCUGGUCCAGCACCGACGUUCAGGCACGAAAGCGUGGGGAGCAAACAGG